rnacentral:rRNA from 1 species
UAAAUAGCCAGGCCGGCUUUUGCUGGUCUCCGGCUUUUUAGAGGGACUAUCUGCGUCUAGCCGAUGGAAGUUUGAGGCAAUAACAGGUCUGUGAUGCCCUUAGAUGUUUUGGGCCGCACGCGCGCUACACUGACAGAGCCAGCGAGUUCUUCUCCUUGGCCGGAAGGUCUGGGUAAUCUUGUGAAACUCUGUCGUGCUGGGGAUAGAGCAUUGCAAUUAUUGCUCUUCAACGAGGAAUUCCUAGUAAGCGUGAGUCAUCAGCUCGCGUUGAUUACGUCCCCUGCCCGUGACAACCGCCCC